CGAGGGUGCAAGCGUUGCUCGGAAUUAUUGGGCGUAAAGGGCAGGUAGGUGGUCUCAUUUGGUCUGGGGUGAAAGCCUUGAGCUUAACUCAAGAGUGCCCCGGAAACGGUGAGACUAGAGUAUCGGAGAGGGUGGUGGAAUUCCCAGUGUAGCGGUGAAAUGCGUAGAGAUUGGGAGGAACACCAGAGGCGAAGGCGGCCACCUGGACGAUGACUGACACUCAACUGCGAAAGCGUGGGGAGCAAACAGGAUUAGAUACCCUGGUAGUCCACGCUGUAAACGAUGGGUACUAGGCUGGGCGGGUCUUGACCCCUGCUGAGCCGGAGCUAACGCACUAAGUACCCCGCCUGGGAAGUACGGUCGCAAGACUA
rnacentral:rRNA from 1 species